ensembl:lncRNA
UUUACUUCCCAAACUAUUUGUUUGAUUUUUUUUUGUAGAAGCUGGAAUUUGUGCAGCUGUUUGUAAUUUGUUAUGAUAAGAAUCAUCUAGUAAAUAUGUUAGCUCAACCUCAAAAGAGUAACCACCCCUCUGCUUAAAAGAAAUGGUACUUCCUGCUUUCAUAAACAGUCAUGUGCAUAGUUUAGCAAGGCCUGAUGCCUCUGGAGCUUUUUCGUUUUGAGCACCAUUGAAUCAGUCCUUACAGAAGUACUGUGAAUCUUGUGGCCUCAUUCUGAACAAAAGGGAUUAGGAAAAAAUCAUUUGAUAAUAAGACUUUGGAAAGCAAGGGCAGGCAAUCUUGGUUGUGAAUAUUUUCUGAUUUUUCCAGAAAUCAAGCAGAAGAUUGAGCUGCUGAUGUCAGUUAACUCUGAGAAGUCGUCCUCUUCAGAAAGCUCAUCAGUCUUAAUGUUGAACUGUUUACAGUCCUUGACCACGGUAUCCAAAAUGGCCUCAUGUCCAGAAGAUGAAGUUUCAAGGCCAGAGCCUCAACAGAAAGCUCCAUCUGCACCACCACCUCCACCUCCGCCCCCACCUCCGCCCCUGCCAGAGCCAGCACCACCAGAACCAGAGGAGGAGAUUCUGGGAUCUGAUGAUGAGGAGCAAGAAGACCCUGCAGAUUAUUGCAAAGGUUUGUGUAAUUAAGCACUAUAUAAAAAGUUGAAUGUUAAAUAGUAAACAUCUAUAUAGCCCUUGACAACUUUGGUCCUCAAGAGCCACUUGAAUGGUCUUCUUUUAGAGUGAAGCUUAUGCUUUUGUGUGGUAGAGACAGAGUUUUCUUAGUGCUGGUCCUAGAUUAUGGAAUUCACUCCUGCAAGAACCAAGGGUAUGUCUACACUAGAGAGACUAUACAGGCAUUGCUAUGUCACCGUAGCUAUGUUGGCAUAACCCUGUAGUAUAGAUGCUGCCUAUAUGUUGGUGUGGGAGCACCACCUCCCUGAUUGAUGGUAGCUCUAAGUCGAUGGAAACAUUCUUCUGUUGACUUAGCUUCAUCUAUACAGGGGAUUAGUUUGGCAUAACUGUGUCGCUCAGGGAGUGCUUUUUUUCCCCACACACCUGAGCAACGUAAUUAUGUUGAUCUAAUUUUUAAGUGUAGACCAAGCCUAAGAAUGGCCACAAAAGUCACCAUUUUCUGUCUAUGCAAUGCUUAUCACUUUUAUUUAUUUUACUUUCCCCUAGGCAAAGGAAUGGAGAGAACAUUUUUGGACCAACAUUAGACACAUUAUUUUUUAACUCUGCGAGGUUUUUAAAUAGUUUGGUAACUGGGAUGAUAUAAUGAUAUAAUAACCUAUACUUAGAAUAGAAUUUAUUUCUCUGAUUCUUCCCUCUAACUUCUCUGCACCAUUGAGACUCACAUUCACUCACUGGAAAUCUUCUGAUCCUGUCCUUGUACAUUAUAUGGAAACUUUAUUCAUACCUUUCUUAUUCUGCUAUUCUGCCUGAUUUACGAUGUGCAUGGGCUAAUUAGAUCAUCAGCUAGUCCAAUUGCCCCAACUUCUGCAGGGAGUCUUGGAACCAUAUCUUGGGGCAUCACUGGGAAUCUGGUAAAGUACGAAACAUUAUUUUAGUGGAGAAUGCAGAUAAACUCAAGACAAGUGAAAGACAAGUAAAUGUUGAGCAAAAAACGUUAAUGUGAACCAGGAGC